UGAGGAACAUGACUUUCGGCGGGGGAGUAGCCGGCCCAACGGCCGGGUAUACCGCGUACGACCUUUCGGGGACGAUCCCCGGUUGGUGAAAGCAGCAAUGCACCGAAAGAGUGCCUCGCGGCCUAUCAGCUAGUUGGUGAGGUAACGGCUCACCAAGGCGACGACGGGUAGCUGGUCUGAGAGGAUGGCCAGCCACAUUGGGACUGAGACACGGCCCAGACUCCUACGGGAGGCAGC
rnacentral:rRNA from 1 species